rnacentral:tRNA from 1 species
CUUCCGUCCCAGAGCAUAUCCAAUCUCAAAAAUAUUUUGAACAAAUGUCCAAAUGUUAAAUAGACA